UUCUGUGACUGCUACUUUUCAGUAUCUGUUAUUCUUAACUGUGAUUUGUCGCAGUUAAGAAUCGCAGUUAAGGAAUCCAGCUCUUGUAUCCCUCCGCACUCUACCACUGCGAUUUCUGCGACUUCUGCGAUUUCUGCUAUUUCUGCGAUUUCUGCUACUUCUGCGACUUAUCUCCGAAUGAAAAAGUUACAUGUGUUCACACAGAGAAUUGCAUCUCAAGAAAACUGACAUUAGUACCCGAACUACAUUUCAGUCACUCAGUAAAGCGAUAAUUCGAAAUAUUAUCGUCAAUAGCCACUGCGUUUUUAGACUGUCUUCGUCAGACGAGAGACGCAGUUCCAACCCCGAUUACUGGUUUCUGUACGUAUCUAUCCACUUCAAGGCUCUUGGGAGAGAAUCGUGAAUAUUCAAGACAGCUCUUAGAGGAUUUGCAGUUUAAAAGUGCCAUAAUUAUGAAAUAAGUGUGCAUAAUGAGUGAUUGAACUGUGUUUAAUUUGAAGUUCUUAUGCGAUUUUAAAGGAAUGAUAAAUGUUAAAUACAGUGAGUGAAUAAAUAAAAUAUUUUCCACGUGUUAA